rnacentral:misc_RNA from 1 species
GCAAACUUGGUCAUUUAGAGGAAGUAAAAGUCGUAACAAGGUUUCCGUAGGUGAACCUGCGGAAGGAUCAUUCACAAUAAGAGUGUUCUAUGGCACUCUUCUAAAAAAAAAAUCCAUACCCCACCUUGUGUGCAAUGUAAAAAGGAAAGUGCGAGUUGUUGACUUGAAAAGAUUGUCUUUUUCAAGACCCGCGACUUGUGUCCUUUCUUUUUCCAACUCAUAUACACCUUUCUAUAUCCUAUUGUCUGAUAAUGUUACAGAAUGACUAAUUCUUAAACAUAACUUUCAACAACGGAUCUCUUGGCUCUCGCAUCGAUGAAGAACGCAGC